GGCUAGGUGGCUGAGGAUUUAGGCGGUAGAUUGUAAAUUUAUAGACGGAGGUAGUUCCCCUAGUUA
rnacentral:tRNA from 1 species